rnacentral:misc_RNA from 1 species
UUUUUUUUUAAUUAGAAAAAAGAAAUUCAUUAAACUAGCAAAUUGAGUACAAAAAAAUCUGGCCCAUACUAGACAUCAGUCUAAUUAAACAAAACCCUCACAGGGAGAAACCCAAUAAAUAACAAAAUACAAACUCAAACCCUAGGCCUAAUCGUUAUAGUUGAAAGAGGAGAGCUACGUAGUCACCGCUCAUCAACAACCAUGAACAAUAGAAAGAGGAAGCAGGCUCAAUUUCAACUCAACACUGCAAACAACACAGAGCCAAACCACAUCUCCAAAGCGGACCAUAGAGGACUAAUGAAGAUGAAGCAUCAUCGGAUCGAAGGAGAGAGGUAGGUAGGGCCGCUUGGCAGAGCUCCAAAUGGCAAGAGAGUCAUGAAGGUCAAAUGUGAAGAUACCAACUUUGCAACCUCGGAGGUGCCCGGCCUCACGGCCUAAAGGAUCUUGCACCCUCCUACCGAAAGCUCGAAGAUGGAGGAGACUACGCUCCACCAUUCACAAGGACUCCAGAAAGCACAAUAGCUCCACAGUGCGCUGGAGGACCGCAAUCCAAAUAACAACAACCAAGCAACCUUACCGAAACAUAAACCUUGCCAAGGAAAACUAGGCCAAGGCUUCAAGCUGAACUGGAUGAAACAGAAAGAAAGCUAGUAGAUUAGCAGGAGUCCUCUCACUGAAGCACAGAAUCCACCAAAACAAGCAAGCACAGACCAAAUGUACAAAAAAUCGACAGAGAACACAAAUCUAAAACAAAAAAACUAACACCCGAACAAAAUCUAUAUACAUCCUAACCGAAAAAAGGAAAGGGACUUUCAUCCGACAAGGAAAGAAUGUCGUCCCCUAUCAUCGAGGGCCAAGGACGACCACUUACGUGCUCCUCUGGUUCUGUAAGCAAUGAAAAAAGGAAAAUCCUUACUUGACAACGAGACAAAGCUCGCACUAUCAAUUAAUAUGAGUGCCUUACAUUAU